GAACCCCGUCCGCGGCCCGCGAUCCACCCCCGGUGAAGCCCCUUCGACGAGUCGAGUUGUUUGGGAAUGCAGCUCAAAACGGGUGGUAAAUUCCAUCUAAAGCUAAAUACCGGCCGGAGACCGAUAGCGCACAAGUAGAGUGAUCGAAAGAUGAAAAGCACUUUGGAAAGAGAGUCAAACAGCACGUGAAAUUGUUGAAAGGGAAGCGCUUGCGACCAGACCUGCCCGCGGGCGAUCAGCCCCCGUUCUCGGGGGUGCACUUGCCCGCGACCAGGCCAGCAUCGGUCCGGGCGGCCGGAGAAAGGCCGGGGGAACGUAGCUCCCUUCCGGGGGAGCCUUACAGCCCCUGGCGCCAUACGGCCAGCCCGGACCGAGGACCGCGCCCCGGCGAGGAUGCUGGCGUAAUGGUCGUCAGCGACCCGUCUUGAAACACGGACCAAGGAGUCUAACGUCUAUGCGAGUGUUUGGGCGUCAAACCCACGCGCGGAAUGAAAGUGAACGGAGGUGAGAACCCCCUCGGGGGGCGCAUCAUCGACCGAUCCAGAUGUCUUCGGAUGGAUUCGAGUACGAGCAUAGCCGUGGGAACCCGAAAGACUGGUGAACUAUACUUGAAUAGGGUGAAGCCAGAGGAAACUCUGGUGGAGGCUCGCAGCGGUUCUGACGUGCAAAUCGAUCGUCGAAUUUGGGUAUAGGGGCGAAAGA
rnacentral:rRNA from 1 species